rnacentral:rRNA from 1 species
GGUUACUGCUAUCGGUGUUCGCCUAAGCCAUGCGAGUCAUAUGUUCGUAAGAACAUGGCGUACUGCUCAGUAACACGUGGAUAACCUGCCCUUGGGUCCGGCAUAACCCCGGGAAACUGGGGAUAAUUCCGGAUAACGCACAUAUGCUGGAAUGCUUUUUGCGUAAAAUGGAUUCGUCUGCCCAAGGAUGGGUCUGCGGCCUACCAGGUAGUAGUGGAUGUAAUGUACCUACUAGCCUACGACGGGUACGGGUUGUGAGAGCAAGAGCCCGGAGAUGGAUUCUGAGACAUGAAUCCAGGCCCUACGGGGCGCAGCAGGCGCGAAAACUUUACAAUGCGGGAAACCGUGAUAAGGGGACACCGAGUGCCAGCAUCCUAUGCUGGCUGUCCGGGUGUGUAAAAUACACCUGUUAGCAAGGGCCGGGCAAGACCGGUGCCAGCCGCCGCGGUAACACCGGCGGCCCGAGUGGUGAUCGUGAUUAUUGGGUCUAAAGGGUCCGUAGCCGGUUUGGUCAGUCCUCCGGGAAAUCUGACAGCUCAACUGUUAGGCUAUCGGAGGAUACUGCCAGACUUGGAACCGGGAGAGGUAAGAGGUACUACAGGGGUAGGAGUGAAAUCUUGUAAUCCCUGUGGGACCACCUGUGGCGAAGGCGUCUUACCAGAACGGGUUCGACGGUGAGGGACGAAAGCUGGGGGCACGAACCGGAUUAGAUACCCGGGUAGUCCCAGCCGUAAACGAUGCUCGCUAGGUGUCAUGCAUGGCGCGACCGUGUCUGGUGCCGCAGGGAAGCCGUGAAGCGAGCCACCUGGGAAGUACGGCCGCAAGGCUGAAACUUAA